rnacentral:lncRNA from 1 species
GCUAGCCAGUUUACCAGAAUCCAUACCUCUGGACAGAGCCCUGAGGACAGUUAGAGAAGCUGUGCCCCCCCCGCCCCCACAAGUCCAGCUGCCACUAGAAAGAGCUGGUUGUGGUACCACUUUCUUGUGUAAGCACCAGGACCUUAAGUAGGAACAGUAGAAGGAGAUGGCCAGUCAUGUUCACAGAGUCCUGGUGGCUGAGCUGUAAGGUGGG